rnacentral:lncRNA from 1 species
CCCCUCCUGCCCAGGCCCCAACCAAGGCGCAUACACUGAUUUCUUCACGACCAAACCAAGCCAGUCAACCCCAUCAGCAUUUUGUAUAUCCCUACAAGGGCGAAGCCUCUAGGACAGAGCAGCUGAGCCACGUGCAGGAGGGCCAGCCAAACCCACCAUUCUUCCCGUCCCUCCACAACAAGAAUCUCCCGCCAGUAAGUGUUGAGUGUCUGCACGCACGCUUGUUUCUUCACUCGGUUAUUUUCUUCUGGCUACAGAUAGUGUGUGAAAUGUUUUCCCUUUCAGGUGAGGGUCACAAACAUUUAUCCUCACAGUACCAUGGCACUGUGAGAAGGAAGGCUCGUGAUCCGAGGUCUGCAUUCAGCUUCUGUCUUUCAGUACCAUUGUGUAUUAGCCCUCCUGCUGUUC